AACGUAGGACGCAAGCGUUAUCCGGAGUUACUGGGCGUAAAGCGCGAGCAGGCGGCUCGACAAGUUCGAUGUGAAAGCGCCCGGCUCAACUGGGCGAGGCCAUUGGAAACUAUCGAGCUGGAGGGCAGUAGAGGCAGGCGGAAUUCCGGGUGGAGUGGUGAAAUGCGUAGAGAUCCGGAGGAACACCAGAGGCGAAGGCGGCCUGCUGGGCUGCACCUGACGCUGAGCCGCGAAAGCCAGGGGAGCGAACGGG
rnacentral:rRNA from 1 species